AACAUUUUGUAUCUGGAUUGUUCCUAGGUCACAAAAACAAUCUUACAAAUAGAGUUUCUGCUGUUGUCACUGGUUUUAGAGAGUACCUUCGUGAAUGAAGAUAAAAAGUCAUUUAUGUUAUUUUUUAAA
rnacentral:lncRNA from 1 species